rnacentral:rRNA from 1 species
GGAGUCUAGCAUGUGCGCGAGUCAUUGGGACUCUAACGAAACCUAAAGGCGUAAUGAAAGUGAAGGUCCGCCUUGCGCGGGCCGAGGGAGGAUGAACGAUCUUUAGGGAUCGUUCCGCACUCCCUGGGCGUCUCGUUCUCAUCGCGAGAAGAGGCGCACCAAGAGCGUACACGCUGGGACCCGAAAGAUGGUGAACUAUGCCUGGUCAGGACGAAGUCAGGGGAAACCCUGAUGGAGGUCCGUAGCGAUUCUGACGUGCAAAUCGAUCGUCGGAACUGGGUAUAGGGGCGAAAGACUAAUCGAACCAUCUAGUAGCUGGUUCCCUCCGAAGUUUCCCUCAGGAUAGCUGGCGCUCGCUUCUCGCGAGUCUCAUUCGGUAAAGCGAAUGAUUAGAGGCAUUGGGGUCGAAACGGCCUCAACCUAUUCUCAAACUUUAAAUGGGUGAGAUCUCCGGCUUGCUUGAACUGUGAAGCCGCGAGAUAUCGGAUCAGAGUGCCAAGUGGGCCACUUUUGGUAAGCAGAACUGGCGCUGUGGGAUGAACCAAACGCUGAGUUAAAGCGCCUAAAUCGACCCUUAUGGGAUACCAUGAAAGGCGUUGGUAACUUAAGACAGCAGGACGGUGGCCAU